GCAGGCCUACGGGAGGCAGCAGUGAGGAAUAUUGGUCAAUGGGCGGGAGCCUGAACCAGCCAAGCCGCGUGAAGGAAGAAGGCGCCAGGCGUCGUAACCUUCUUUUGUCGGGGAACAAAGGGCGCCACGCGUGGCGUUGUGAGUGUACCCGAAGAAAAAGCAUCGGCUAACUCCGUGCCAGCAGCCGCGGUAAUACGGAGGCUGCGAGCGUUAUCCGGAUUUAUUGGGAUUAAAGGGUGCGUAGGCGGCCCGGAAAGUCAGCGGUAAAAGCCCGGGG
rnacentral:rRNA from 1 species